ACAACUCUUAUCGAUAAGCCAUUGGAGGGCAAGUCUGGUGCCAGCAGCCGCGGUAAUUCCAGCUCCAAUAGCGUAUAUUAACGUUGUUGCAGUUAAAAAGCUCGUAGUUGAAGUGAGGGAGUGUGUGGGUAUGAGAGCUAGUCUCAAGUACUUACAACCUCCCCCCUCCAAUCGGUGUAGUGGGGUAUUCAGUUAUUCUACUACUCCUUUGGUCGUUUACUGUGAGAAAAUUAGAGUGUUCAAAGCGGGCGUUUGUUUGAAUAGAUUAGCAUGGAAUAAUGAUUGAAGGCUUUCGUGUUCGAUUUGAUUGGUUUGUUCAUGGAAGCAAGGUUAAAAGGAACAGUUGGGGGUAUUCAUAUUCACUAGUUAGAGGUGAAAUUCUCGGAUUUAUGGAAGAUGAACAAGUGCGAAAGCAA
rnacentral:rRNA from 1 species